rnacentral:rRNA from 1 species
GAGGAAUAUUGGGCAAUGGGCGCAAGCCUGACCCAGCCAUGCCGCGUGAAGGAUGAAUGCCCUAUGGGUUGUAAACUUCUUUUGUACGGGACGAAACUCCUGGUCGUGACCAGGAUUGACUGUACCGUGCGAAUAAGCAUCGGCUAACUCCGUGCCAGCAGCCGCGGUAAUACGGAGGAUGCAAGCGUUAUCCGGAUUCAUUGGGUUUAAAGGGUGCGUAGGCGGAAUAAUAAGUCAGUGGUGAAAGCCUGUGGCUCAACCAUAGAAUUGCCAUUGAUACUGUUAUUCUUGAGUAUAGUUGAAGUGGGCGGAAUGUGUAAUGUAGCGGUGAAAUGCUUAGAUAUUACACAGAACACCAAUUGCGAAGGCAGCUCACUAAGCUGUUACUGACGCUGAGGCACGAAAGCGUGGGGAGCAAAC